rnacentral:rRNA from 1 species
UACGUAGGGCGCAAGCGUUUGUCCGGAAUUAUUUGGGGCGUAAAGAGCUCGUAGGUGGCUUGUCGCGUCUGCCGUGAAAGCCCAUGGCUUAACUAUGGGUCUGCGGUGGAUACGGGCAGGCUAGAGGCUGGUAGGGGCAAGCGGAAUUCCUGGUGUAGCGGUGAAAUGCGCAGAUAUCAGGAGGACACCGGUGGCGAAGGCGGCUUGCUGGGCCAGUUCUGACGCUGAGGAGCGAAAGCGUGGGGAGCGAACAGG